GACAGAGGUGCCAAGCGUUAGGCGGAAUCACUGGGCUUAAAGCGUGUGUAGGCGGAUUUGUAAGUCCCUUGUGAAAUCCCACGGCUCAACCGUGGAACUGCUCGGUAUACUGCUUAUCUUGAGCCACUUAGGGGCUACCGGAACAAAUGGUGGAGCGGUGAAAUGCGUAGAUAUCGGGAGGAACACCAGUGGCGAAGGCGGGUCUCUGGGCAGUAACUGACGCUGAGGAGCGAAAGCGUGGGGAGCGAACAGG
rnacentral:rRNA from 1 species